rnacentral:rRNA from 1 species
UACGUAGGGUGCAAGCGUUAAUCGGAAUUACUGGGCGUAAAGCGUGCGUAGACGGUUAUGUAAGUCAGAUGUGAAAGCCCCGGGCUCAACCUGGGAAUUGCAUUUGAGACUGCAUAGCUAGGGUGCGGAAGAGGGAAGCGGAAUUUCCGGUGUAGCGGUGAAAUGCGUAGAUAUCGGAAGGAACACCAGUGGCGAAGGCGGCUCUCUGGGACGGUACUGACGCUGAGGCGCGAAAGCUAGGGGAGCAACAGG